rnacentral:tRNA from 1 species
GAGAUUUUAAGUUAAAGAAACUAUUAAUUUUCAAAAUUAAAAAUGAAUAAUCAAAUUAUAUCUCA